CUUUUUUGUAACUUCCCAGAAGCCGCGUUUAACAGGUGGCUUCCGUUUGCUUCCGCACGGUGAUUGCAUUAAACAUUGGGUUUCGCAACCACAGUUCCCAGAUGCGAGGCUGUGCAGUUAUCUAGAUAAACUGCAGUAAACUGCACGGAGAAUUUUAUUCCCAGCUCACCUGCAAUCAGCUAUUUCAAGUAAGUAAAUACAAACGAAGUUUAAUGCAUUUCUACGAAAUGUUCUAAAAAUUAAGAAAAAUGUUAAGCUAAAGCAAAACACAGUAAUCCAAUUGUUUUUGUUUAGAUACGUAUACAUAUAUGAAUGCAUUGUAUAACUCAUACAUAUGUAUAUAACAAAAGUUU